CACACUAUCAUGUCAUGAAUACAUAGUGGCAUGAGGCGAACCGGGGGAACUGAAACAUCUAAGUACCCCGAGGAAAAGAAAUCAACCGAGAUUCCCCCAGUAGCGGCGAGCGAACGGGGAGGAGCCCAGAACCUGAAUCGGCUUGUGUGUUAGUGGAAGCGUCUGGAAAGUCGCGCAGCAAAGGGUGAUAGCCCCGUACACUAAAAUGCACAGGUCGUGAGUUCGAUGAGUAGGGCGGGACACGUGACAUCCUGUCUGAAUAUGGGGGGACCAUCCUCCAAGGCUAAAUACUCCUGACUGACCGAUAGUGAACCAGUACCGUGAGGGAAAGGCGAAAAGAACCCCGGCGAGGGGAGU
rnacentral:rRNA from 1 species